ensembl:lncRNA
GUUCCCUGUCGGUGAUAACUCAUUUGAAUCCUUUGAGGUAUUGCUGUUUCAUUGUUUCGGGCUCGGUAUGACUUGGAGAGAGGUAAAGGUUCAACAUGUUUAGUCAGAGACACAAGGUAAACAAGCUUGCGUUCUGGAAGUCGUUCAUGAAGCAUCUCGCACACAGCUCAGGGCGCACCCACACGUGAGCGAGGCAGCUUGCGUCCUCACCCCGCUGUCGGCGAGACGGAGACGCGGGCAGAGGGAAGCGGUAAUCAGCCGGCACGCUCGCUGAUUUCCAGACAAAUUAAACGUCAGAGGAAAGCGGCGAGUGGGCGCCUGGCUGGCAGGAGAGGCAGAGGCCAUCAUAAAUAAUUAAUGGUGUGACGUUGGUGUGAGGCCAGAUGCACAAUGGAUAAUUCAGCCCGCCAGUUGUUCCAGUCCACUUGGCGAGCUGGGAAUCCGAUCCAUCCAUCAUACGUCUAGGGUUUUCAUUGGCUGGUAAUGGACGUUCAGAAUCACACCUGGUGGUAAAAUAGAGGCCGUUUAAUGAUGGACGUCCAGACCACACAGGAGCGGCGUCUGUGAGGUCAUCCUUCAGCGGCGACGGCAGACGCCUGCUACGUUGGUGUAGCAGCCGGCUGAUGGAUUGGACUGCCGCCCGGAGAGAGCGCCUUCGGAGAACACGCUGUUCAAGGGGAGCAUAAAGGUGUGCCAAACCAGGAGAAGGAGUGCCCGGUGCUUGCGCAUACCAUCAUUGACGACAACGAAACCAGAAACACCAACACUUAGAACCACUUAGAACCACAGUUUAUCGUACUUUUUACUGCUUGAUUGUUCAACAAAAUAAAUCAUCAACCCGAUCA